rnacentral:rRNA from 1 species
CUAUUAAUACCCCCAAAAGCACAACACUAAAUUAAACAAACCAUUUUUCCCCCUAAGUAUGGGCGACAGAAAAGGAACAAUCAGAGCCAUAGAAAAAGUACCGCAAGGGAAUGCUGAAAAAGAAAUGAAACAACCCAGUAAAGUUUAAAAAAGCAGAGAUUUACCCUCGUACCUUUUGCAUCAUGAUUUAGUCAGUAAAAACAAGCAAAAGGUACUUUAGUUUGUCUUCCCGAAACUAAGUGAGCUACUCCAAGACAGCCUAAAAUAGGGCUAACCCGUCUCUGUGGCAAAAGAGUGGGAUGAGCUUAGAGUAGAGGUGACAAACCUACCGAACUUAGUCAUAGCUGGUUGCCUGAGAAAUGAAUAGAAGUUCAGCUUUUUGGUUUUUCUCUCCAACCUGCUUAGCUACGACCGAACCAAAGAAACCAAAAAAGUUAAUUAAAGGGGGUACAGCUCCUUUAAACAAGAUACAACUUCACCAGCCGGGUAAAGAUCACAUAUAACUAAGGUAAAAUGUUUUAGUGGGCCUAAAAGCAGCCACCUAUAAGAAAGCGUCAAAGCUCCUUCAUACCCCCAUCCCCAAAUUCAGACAAUACAUUCUAAACCCGCUAAUUUUAUCAAGCCGCCCCGUGCCGCCAUGGGGGUGAUUAUGCUAAAAUGAGUAAUAAGAAAAGCCACCUUUUCUCCUUGCACUCGUGUAAAUCGAAACGGACCUCCCAUCGAACAUUAAUCGGCCCCAAAAAAAGAGGGUAAUGAGCUAUCAACCCCAAUAACAAGAAAAGCUCCCAAAUAUUAACCGUUAACCUCACACUACCGUGCUUACAAGGAAAGACUAAAAGAAAAAGAAGGAACUCGGCAAAUACAAGCCUCGCCUGUUUACCAAAAACAUCGCCUCUUGAAAACUAAACAUAAGAGGUCC